rnacentral:tRNA from 1 species
GCCGAGGUGGCGGAAUUGGUAGACGCGCUAGCUUCAGGUGCUAGUGUCCUUACGGACGUGCUGGUUCGACUCCAGUCCUCGGUACCA